rnacentral:rRNA from 1 species
AUUCCAGCUCCAAUAGCGUAUAUUAAAGUUGUUGCAGUUAAAAAGCUCGUAGUUGAACUUCUUGGCAUCCUUUAAGCUGGCUUCGGUCGUUUCAAGGGUGUCAAUCCGCUAGGGAACUACAUUCGCACUUCACUGUGCGGUGUAAGGAACUGGCAUUUUACUUAGAAAAAAUUAGAGUGUUCAAGGCAGGCUAUCGCCCUGAAUACACAAGCUUGGAAUAAUGAAAUAGGACUAUUUCCAUUUUAUUGGUUAUUGGAUUUAGUAAUGAUUAAUAGGGACAGUUGGGGGCAUUUGUAUUUAAUAGUCAGAGGUGAAAUUCUUGGAUUUAUUAAAGACAAACUUAUGCGAAAGCAUUUGCCAAGGAUGUUUUCAUCA